GACAUAUACCGGAUCGUUCCAGAGAUGGUUCUUCCCCUUUGGGGUCGGUAUACAGGUGGUGCAUGGUUGUCGUCAGCUCGUGUCGUGAGAUGUUGGGUUAAGUCCCGCAACGAGCGCAACCCUCGUUCCAUGUUGCCAGCACGUGAUGGUGGGGACUCAUGGGAGACUGCCGGGGUCAACUCGGAGGAAGGUGGGGAUGACGUCAAAUCAUCAUGCCCCUUAUGUCUUGGGCUUCACGCAUGCUACAAUGGCCGGUACAAAGGGUUGCGAUACUGUGAGGUGGAGCUAAUCCCAAAAAGCCGGUCUCAGUUCGGAUUGAGGUCUGCAACUCGACCUCAUGAAGUCGGAGUCGCUAGUAAUCGCAGAUCAGCAACGCUGCGGUGAAUACGUUCCCGGGCCUUGUACACACCGCCCGUCAAGUCACGAAAGUCGGUAACACCCGAAGCCGGUGGCCCAACCCUUGUGGAGGGAGCCGUCGAAGGUGGGACUGGCGAUUGGGA
rnacentral:rRNA from 1 species